AGCCGCGGUAAUACGUAGGUGGCAAGCGUUAUCCGGAUUUAUUGGGCGUAAAGAGAGUGCAGGCGGUUUUCUAAGUCUGAUGUGAAAGCCUUCGGCUUAACCGGAGAAGUGCAUCGGAAACUGGAUAACUUGAGUGCAGAAGAGGGUAGUGGAACUCCAUGUGUAGCGGUGGAAUGCGUAGAUAUAUGGAAGAACACCAGUGGCGAAGGCGGCUACCUGGUCUGCAACUGACGCUGAGACUCGAAAGCAUGGGUAGCGAACAGGAUUAGAUACCCUGGUAG
rnacentral:rRNA from 1 species